UUCACAGCUGUGUCGGCAGCCACCCCCUCCGAACGAGCAGCACGCGGCACAAAGACGCUGCUCCACCGCAGCCAACCACUCCCGGACGCCACCCUGGCCACGCAGCUCGCCGACGCCAGCCCCAAGGUGGGGCGAGCAGACCUGCCCACCGGAGGCCUGGCAAAGCCAGCCGCGCCGCCAAGGCGCCACUGGCCGCCGCGCCUAGACAUCGCCAGCCAGCACCUCCACGGUGCAGCCAGCCAGACCAGGCUAGCCACCGCCGGCUGAGCCGCCAUGGCGCCGCCGGCACACCCGUCGCACCGGCCCCCACACUCUGUCGCAGCCAAGCAGAUGAAGGAGUCCGGUCGUCCUCACCCGGAGUCAGCCGACGCCGUCGCCGACCGAGCCUCCGGACGGAUCCAGCGCCGCGGCCACCGGAUCCGGCCAUGGAGGCCCCGGAUCCGGCUUCGCCGGAGCCGCCCGCACCGCCACCGCGUGUCCGGCAGCGAGCCCCCCGGCACCACUUGCAGCCGCGCCGCCAAGGGCCUCGCCCCCAACGUGAGGACGCCAGCCCCGGCCAUCAGAGCACCGGCCUCACCCCAGAACCGGCAGCCGCGCCGCCAACACUGCCGCACCACCGCGCCGAAGUGAGCUCGCCGCGCGCCGGAAUCAGCCCCGACGAGAGGAGCCCCGCCGCCGCCAUCCUUGCAAGCACACGGGCUUCCGGUGCCCUGCUCCGGCGGCGGCGAGGUGGAGAGGAGGCCCGGGAUGGGUGGCGGCGGCGGAGGGGUGGGGGCGCCGCCCGAGUCGCCCCCUGUGAAGGAGACGACGCGGGGGCCUGGUGAACCAGCAACUAGCGAGGUGGGAAAUUCAUCAGUUGUGAAGAUUAUCGAGCUGGAUGAUUAGACAAGCAGCCGUGCCUAUGCUUGUCUACUAAGGCAAGUUUUGCUGAUUUUGCCCAACAAGCUGACAUUGGCCUGAA